CAACUAACAAGGAUUCCCUUAGUAACGGCGAGUGAACAGGGAUUAGCCCAGCACCGAAGCCUGUGUCCGUUUGGUCAUUAGGCAAUGUGGUGUUUAGGUUGUUUCGCAGAGGCACUGCUCUACCCUAAGUCCGGCAAUGAACACGGUAGUACGGACAUGGCCCACAGAGGGUGAAAGGCCCGUGGGGGUAGAGAUUCAACUGGCCAGUGCUUCUCUGGAAUAACCUUAGAGUCGGGUUGUUUGUGAAUGCAGCCCAAAGUGGGUGGUAGACUCCAUCCAAGGCUAAAUACAUACACGAGUCCGAUAGCAAACAAGUACCGUGAGGGAAAGUUGAAAAGUACUUUGAAGAGAGAGUAAACAGUGCGUGAAACCGCUCAGAGUCUAAACGAAUGGAGUUGAACUGCGACCAUUGAGAAUUCAGCUGACAAGUAUGGUUUGUGCUUGGUCAAAUUGGUUAAAGCUUGCAGUUUGUUAAUUACAAGCYCCUGUCGUUUGGCGGGGGUGUGUGAUGCACUUACCAUGUGUUGCACGCUGUGAGUGUAAUUGGGCCAACUUGUCAGUGCACUUUCUCAUUUGGGUUCACCACGACCGGCAUUGCUGUCUUUACAGUUCAGUUAAACCGGGUGCUCUUAGUCCUUGUGGCUUUGGGUGUUCGGGAUGGCAGGUGGCUCGUCAGCUUUUUCACGGUUUCCGUGAGUUUCGUUGACGAGUGUUAUCAGCUGACUGGUUAUUGUUUUGUUCGGCAUGUCGGAGACGGCGGCUAGUGGUGUGCGUUCGUGCCUAUUUGGCAACGGAAUCCGGUUUGGUUGCUAUGUUGCUUGUUUAAGCAAGCCUGGUGAUAAUCUGGUUUCGUUUGUUGAAGGGUUGCGCUCGUAUCAUCAGUCCAAGGGCCUAAAGUCUGUGGUGUUGUGGUAGACUUUCCAUUCGGCCCGUCUUGAAACACGGACCAAGGAGAUUUACAUAUACGCGAGUUAUUGGGCGUUACGAAACCCAAAAGCGCAGUGAAAGUGAAAGUAUGGCUUGUCCAUAUUGUGGUGAGAUCCCGCUCUGUCUCACACGUGGUACUAUCAAGUUUUGAGGAGUGGGCGCAUCACCGGCCCGUCCCAUGAUAAUUGUCUUUGACAUUUUUCUGUCGGGGCGGAGCAUGAGCGUAUAUGUUGAGACCCGAAAGAUGGUGAACUAUGCUUGCGCAGGUUGAAGCCAGAGGAAACUCUGGUGGAGGACCGCAGCGUUUCUGACGUGCAAAUCGAUCGCCGGACGUGAGUAUAGGGGCGAAAG
rnacentral:rRNA from 1 species